rnacentral:misc_RNA from 1 species
UUUCCGUAGGUGAACCUGCGGAAGGAUCAUUACCGAGUUAGGGUUUCGUCUGACGAGCCCGACCUCCCAACCCUUUGUCUAUUAUACCUUGUCGUUGCUUCGGCGGACCGGUCGCGACCAACUGGUCGUGACCGCCGGGGUCCCGUCCCUGGAGAGCGUCCGCCGACGGCCCAACCACAAACUCUUGUACCAAACCAUGUCGUCUGAAUUUACUUGAUUAAAAUCAAAAACAAAACUUUCAACAACGGAUCUCUUGGUUCUGGCAUCGAUGAAGAACGCAGC